CGCCCCUACGUGCGGCGCCGCCCCCGCACCCCCGCCGCCUCCCGCUUCCCAUCCUCCCCUUCCUCCCCCUCUGACCCCACCCCAACGCGUCUCUGUAUCCACAUCUUCGAGCAACGAAGCAGGCCGGAGAAGUCCAGCACGAGCGUCUACGUCGUCUCCGUCGGAUCCCGCCGCCUCUCCUUCAAGUCUGGCCGGCCUGCUGCUCCUAAUCCACCGCCGAUCCUCCACGGGCUCGUCGGGCUGGUGAGGUCGCCGGUGUUGGCCAUGUUACCGCGGAUCGGGUCGCACCUCUUCGUCACCUUGGGCAUCCUCUAGAGCUUCCCUGAGACGAGGACACACAUCCUGGUGAACUCCUUGGUCAUCAGCUGGUCCAUCACCGAGGUAUGCAUGCUCCUGAAUCCUGAUAAUCUAGGAAUUAUAGCUCUUCAAAUUAACUAUAUUAUCGAGCGGCGAGGUGCUGUUGUUGCUGUUAGACUAGCUGAAGAUGUGCUCCUGAACUAAUGAAAUGCGAUGGUGAUAUUUACAUAUGGAUGUUGUUGUUCCAAGCUGAGUUUCAAGAUACUUGUCGUAGGUGUAUCACACAAAAUUGCUGCAGCUUCAUUCACUAUACAAUUGUGGGCUGAAUACUUGUGUUUCAAGAUACUUGUUGUAGGUGUAUCACACAAAAUAGCAAAAUUCAGUUAAACCACUGUAUCUAGAGUAAAAUUCAGUUAAACUACUGAUGUAGUGUGAAAUUCAGUUAAACUACUGAUGCAGUGUAAAAUUCGGUUAAACUACUGUAACUAUAGUAAAAUUCAAUUAAACUACUAAUGCAGUGUAAAAUUACCGUAAUACAUCAUGGAUUAGUGACCCGUCUAGAUAAAGAGAGUCCAUAAUACAUAUGGCCUGGGACCAAUGGUCCUCCUCCUACCUGCUCCACAGUAUGUACAUAUCAAGAAAGAGUAGAAAACAACAGAAAGUAGCACAUAUAUUUGUUUAGCCUUUUGGGGGAAGCUGCAAAAUACAAAUUAUAUACAGCACAAAAGCAGCAGAAGAUUUCUCAAAAAACAAAUGCAGCAGAAAAACAACUCAAACAACAAUUGGAAAAUUUGUUCAGAUAGAAGUGAGACCUUAUGUUUUUCAGAUCCAAUAGCAACAUGUAUUUUUUUUCUUGGAUCAACUAAAGAAUGGUUUCUUUAUGUGCCCUUCAUACUUGAUUUGUUAACUUGUGCCAUAGAACUUACAUAUAUAGUCCCUCUUGUACCACCUAUGUUUGUGUUGGUCUGCUAGAUAACUUGUUUCACUUGUUUUUAUGCAAGCAAAACUUCUGCUUGACUGUUAAGUUGUACAAUAUGUACUUGUACUGUUGGAAGCUGAUUAAUUUGGCGCAAUUUUAUUUUUGUUUUGUCAAGUCUAUGCACUGAUUGAGUUAGAUGAAAAUGUUUAGUGGCACCAAUUUCUGCAAGUCUGUUCAGUCAGCAGGGCUAGCACUAUGGUCUUUCUGUUUCGUACAACUGCAAUUUCAUUUAUGUUGUUAUAAGUUUGUUGAUGUCAGCAUGAGUUAACUUGGUAUGCAGUAGGCACUGGUCUCAUUCUUAGACCGACAAACCCGCAGCGCGCAUUCAGGCAUCAUUUGGUUGUUAGACUGUUUAGCUAUGUAGAGUGAAAUUCAGUUGUGCUAGCAAAGAGGAGGCCUCCAGAUUUUUUUUCUUUGCCUAGAUUCAAGUAUUACAAAUCGUUUGAUGUAAUUCCUUCAUUGGAAAAUCAUUGCUUAAACUAUUUAGGCAGUAGUGUGCGGCGCAACUCUUUGCAAGAUGUUUUUUGAGAAACACA